rnacentral:rRNA from 1 species
UACAGAGGGUGCAAGCGUUGUUCGGAGUUACUGGGCGUAAAGGGUGUGUAGGCGGUUUUUUAAGUUUGGUGUGAAAUCUCCCGGCUCAACUGGGAGGGUGCGCCGAAUACUGAGGGACUAGAGUACGGGAGAGGAAAGUGGAAUUCCUGGUGUAGCGGUGAAAUGCGUAGAUAUCAGGAGGAACACCGGUGGUGUAGACGGCUUUCUGGACCGUAACUGACGCUGAGACACGAAAGCGUGGGUAGCAAACAGG